AGGGCACCACCAGGAGUGGAGCCUGCGGCUUAAUUUGACUCAACACGGGAAAACUCACCCGGCCCGGACACUGGAAGGAUUGACAGAUUGAGAGCUCUUUCUUGAUUCAGUGGGUGGUGGUGCAUGGCCGUUCUUAGUUGGUGGAGUGAUUUGUCUGGUUAAUUCCGAUAACGAACGAGACUCUAGCCUAUUAAAUAGAUCGUUGGCUUACAAACGCCGGCGAGACUUCUUAGAGGGACAGGCGGCGAUUCAGCCGCACGAAACAGAGCAAUAACAGGUCUGUGAUGCCCUUAGAUGUCCGGGGCCGCACGCGCGCUACACUGAGGUGAUCAGCGUGCAUUUUGAAACCUACUCUGUCAAGAGUGGGGAACCCAAUGAACCUUCUUCGUGAUUGGGAUAGGGGAUUGUAAUUAUUCUCCUUGAACGAGGAAUUCCCAGUAAGCGCGAAUCAUAAGUUUGCGCUGAUUACGUCCCUGCCCUUUGUACACACCGCCCGUCGCUACUACCGAUUGAAUGUUU
rnacentral:rRNA from 1 species